rnacentral:rRNA from 1 species
GAUGAACGCUGGCGGCGUGCCUAAUACAUGCAAGUCGAGCGAACAGAUAAGGAGCUUGCUCCUUUGACGUUAGCGGCGGACGGGUGAGUAACACGUGGGUAACCUACCUAUAAGACUGGGAUAACUUCGGGAAACCGGAGCUAAUACCGGAUAACAUUUGGAACCGCAUGGUUCUAUAGUGAAAGAUGGUUUUGCUAUCACUUAUAGAUGGGCCCGCGCCGUAUUAGCUAGUUGGUAAGGUAACGGCUUACCAAGGCGACGAUACGUAGCCGACCUGAGAGGGUGAUCGGCCACACUGGAACUGAGACACGGUCCAGACUCCUACGGGAGGCAGCAGUAGGGAAUCUUCCGCAAUGGGCGAAAGCCUGACGGAGCAACGCCGCGUGAGUGAUGAAGGGUUUCGGCUCGUAAAACUCUGUUAUUAGGGAAGAACAAAUGUGUAAGUAACUGUGCACGUCUUGACGGUACCUAAUCAGAAAGCCACGGCUAACUACGUG